rnacentral:rRNA from 1 species
UAAGGAAUAUUGGUCAAUGGACGCAAGUCUGAACCAGCCAUGCCGCGUGCAGGAUGAAGGCCCUCUGGGUCGUAAACUGCUUUUAUCUAUGAAGAAAACGCCUGUUUCUACGGGCAUUGACGGUAAUAGAGGAAUAAGCACCGGCUAACUCCGUGCCAGCAGCCGCGGUAAUACGGAGGGUGCAAGCGUUAUCCGGAUUUACUGGGUUUAAAGGGUGCGUAGGCGGGUUGAUAAGUCAGUGGUGAAAGCCCCGAGCCUAACUCGGGAACUGCCAUUGAUACUAUCAAUCUUGAAUUCAGUUGAGGUGGGCGGAAUGUGUCGUGUAGCGGUGAAAUGCUUAGAUAUGACACAGAACACCAAUUGCGAAGGCAGCUCGCUAAACUGACAUUGACGCUGAGGCACGAAAGCGUGGGGAUCAAACAGGAUUAGAUACCCCGGUAGUCC